CAUUUGUUUUUUUUUUUUUUUUUUCGUUUUCUUCAUGUUAUCUGCGAUAAUCAGUUUACUUACGUUUCGCAAUUAUUCACAGAAUUUAUAUAUAAUUUUAAAAGGACCACUAAAAAAAUAUCGACCUAUAUAUAUAUGUAUAUGUGUGUAUAUAUAUAUAUAUAUAAAAAAAAACAGUCUCUUCAGAGUAUUAAUUUUAGGCCAAAUUGGGCUAAGUUUAUUCGUCGUUCAUUAUCAAUAUUGAUGUGUAAUAAUGUAAGAAUUACUGAAAUAAAUCAAAUACAGUUACUGUAAAUUUCACA